AUGUUUGUGUUUCUCUCAUUCUUGUCUUUUGCAUUUUCCACUACUGGUAAUUUCUGGGCAUGUUUUGGAAAGCUCAACUUGAAUUUAAAUUUGAUACAGAUGGAGACUGUUACAUGCCGACCAAGACAGAGACUGACAAAGAGAGAGACCAUGACUGGGACAGACACAGACACUGGGAUGGAGAGAGAGACACAGACUGAGACAGGCAGACAAACCGAGAGACAUAGAGGCAGGAAUGGUGACUGAUAUAGAGGCAGAAACACAGAGGGACCGAUACAGAGACAAAAAGAGAGAGAGAGUGACUGAGACAGACAGAGGCACUUAGGGACAUAAAGAAGGAAAAAGUGAGAGAGAUUGACUGAGACAGACAAAAUCAUCAAAGGAUACAGAGACAGUGACCGAGAAAGACAAAGACACUGAGGGACACAGUGAGAGCGACAGUGACUGAGACAGUCACUGCCAGUGAAAGAAUAUGACCAAGUCCUCAUUCUGCUAGAAGCCCCAGACUGACGAUUCCCCAGGGUGAUUGUGCCUGAGAAUGUUCCCUCAUGGCAUCAUCCUCCCAAGCCCCAUCCACUAAAGCAGCCACCGGACCCAAGGACCAUCACACCUUUGAGGUGACCACUCACGCCGACCCCAGCCAUCAGCCUGGGGUUCCAGGAAAGGCGUCAUCUUCGGAGGGGCAGAAGCUGGAGUGAUAUUCGCAACCAUGCCAGAGGACAUCUCCCUGAGGCCUGGCCGCCCUCCAGGAUGCGGCCAGCUGCUACAUCCCCACACGGCAAGCAGCACAAAGCAAUCCGCUCGUCCUUUUGUUUCCCACUCAGCAC